rnacentral:misc_RNA from 1 species
GAUGAAGAACGUAGCGAAAUGCGAUACGUAAUGUGAAUUGCAGAAUUCAGUGAAUCAUCGAAUCUUUGAACGCACAUUGCGCCCGCCAGCACUCUGGCGGGCAUGCCUGUUCGAGCGUCAUUUAAACCUUCAAGCUCAGCUUGGUGUUGGGUGACUGUCCGCUUCACCGCGGACUCGCCUCAAAAUUAUUGGCGGCCGGUACAUUGGCUUCGAGCGCAGCAGAAACGCGAACUCGGGCCCGUCGUAUUGGCUCCCAGAAGCUAUCUUCACAAUUUUGACCUCGGAUCAGGUAGGGAUACCCGCUGAACUUAAGCAUAUCAAUAAGCGGAGGA